CCUACGGGAGGCAGCAGUGGGGAAUAUUGCACAAUGGGGGCAACCCUGAUGCAGCGAUGCCGCGUGAGUGAUGAAGUAUUUCGGUUUGUAAAGCUCUAUCAGCAGGGAAGAAAGCAUUGACGGUACCUGACUAAGAAGCCCCGGCUAACUACGUGCCAGCAUCCGCGGUAAUACGUAGGGGGCAAGCGUUAUCCGGAUUUACUGGGUGCAAAGGGAGCGUAGACGGCGGUGCAAGUCGGAAGUGAAAGUCGGUGGCACAACCCCUGGACUGCUUUGGAAACUGGAUGGCGAGAGUGCAGGAGAGGGAAGUAGAAUUCCGAGUGUAGCGGUGAAAUGCGUAGAGAUUAGGAGGAACACCAGUGGCGAAGGCGGCUUACUGGACUGUAACUGACGUUGAGGCUCGAAAGCGUGGGGAGCAAACAGGAUUAGAUACCCGAGUAGUC
rnacentral:rRNA from 1 species